AUUGAACGCUGGCGGCAGGCCUAACACAUGCAAGUCGAACGAGUGGCGGACGGGUGAGCAAUGUCGGGGAAAGUGCCUGAUGGAGGGGGAUAACUACUGGAAACGGUAGCUAAUACUGCAUACCAUAGGAUGUGCCCUGCGGGGAUUAGCUAGUAGGUGGGGUAAAGGCUCACCUAGGCGACGAUCCCUAGCUGGUCUGAGAGGAUGACCAGUCACACUGGAACUGAGACACGGUCCAGACUCCUACGGGAGGCAGCAGUGGGGAAUAUUGCACAAUGGGCGCAAGCCUGAUGCAGCCAUGCCGCGUGUGUGAAGAAGGCCUUCGGGUUGUAAAGUUCUUUCAGCGGGGAGGCGUUACCCGCAGAAGAAGCCCCGGCUAACUCCGUGCCAGCAGCCGCGGUAAUAC
rnacentral:rRNA from 1 species